UACAGAGGUGGCAAGCGUUGUUCGGAAUUAUUGGGCGUAAAGGGCGCGUAGGCGGUGCGGUAAGUCACCUGUGAAAACUCUGGGCUCAACUCAGAGCCUGCAGGCGAAACUGCCGUGCUUGAGUGUGGGAGAGGUGCGUGGAAUUCCCGGUGUAGCGGUGAAAUGCGUAGAUAUCGGGGAGGAACACCUGUGGCGAAAGCGGCGCACUGGACCACAACUGACGCUGAGGCGCGAAAGCUAGGGGGAGCAAACAGG
rnacentral:rRNA from 1 species